rnacentral:rRNA from 1 species
UGGGGAAUUUUGGACAAUGGGCGAAAGCCUGAUCCAGCAAUGCCGCGUGUGUGAAGAAGGCCUUCGGGUUGUAAAGCACUUUUGUCCGGAAAGAAAUCCUUGGCUCUAAUACAGUCGGGGGAUGACGGUACCGGAAGAAUAAGCACCGGCUAACUACGUGCCAGCAGCCGCGGUAAUACGUAGGGUGCAAGCGUUAAUCGGAAUUACUGGGCGUAAAGCGUGCGCAGGCGGUUUGCUAAGACCGAUGUGAAAUCCCCGGGCUCAACCUGGGAACUGCAUUGGUGACUGGCAGGCUAGAGUAUGGCAGAGGGGGGUAGAACUCCACGUGUAGCAGCGAAAUGCGUAGAGAUGUGGAGGAAUACCGAUGGCGAAGGCAGCCCCCUGGGCCAAUACUGACGCUCAUGCACGAAAGCGUGGGGGAGCAAACAGGAUUAGAUACCCUGGUAGUCCACGCCCUAAACGAUGUCAACUAGUUGUUGGGGAUUCAUUUCCUUAGUAACGUAGCUAACGCGUGAAGUUGACCGCCUGGGGAGUACGGUCGCAAGAUUAAAACUCAAAUGAAUUGACGGGGUCAUAGCUG